UGGAGAGAGAAGCCACAAGGUGAGAGGAGAGCCAGCAGGGGCUAAACCACUACGCCUGCUCCACGGCCUCACACCUCCACAUGCGACAACCUUAGGGGGCCACGGACUGAGUCACAAAGCUGAAUGGAUGUGGAGUUGCUCAUUAAGAAGAUCACAAGACCUCAAUUCUUUAAGAUGACGGACUAGGAACGAAGGAGACAUAAACAUAAAAUGAGGUUGGGGAGGAAGACCAUUUACGCUGGCCUGCUAUGCUGCAACACAAUUUUAAUAGUCUUAUAGGAGCCAGUGAGUGGGAAAACGACCAGUAACGCAGUUCACAGCCUGUAAGUUUUGUCACUGUUGUUGCUGCUGUCUACUCUGGGUGUGACAACGCUAACUGGAAUUAGGGCAGAGUGGUUCCCUAUUCCCACCCCCGGCACAGGAGAAGCAGUUGGGAGAACUGUUAGCAUGUGACUUGGGAAGAACAGGGGCAGAGCGCAGGAUAGAUUCAAUCUCCUAGAUGUUUCAAAGACUGGCAUCAGGAAAAACAGUUCUGUGUGUGUGUGUGUGUGCAUGCGCGUGAGCAGUCCAGAGAGACUAGAGGGAUGGCAUAGCGGGUGUCCAGAAAUGGAACGAUGGCUACACAAAUGAGACUUCACCCGCUUUGGCAAACCCAGAAAUGUCACCAACAGGAAGUUGCAUGAACACUUGGUGAUAUAUUCAGACAAUGGACUAUUACUCAGUAAUGAAUUUUUUUU